rnacentral:rRNA from 1 species
CCUACGGGAGGCAGCAGUGAGGAAUAUUGGUCAAUGGGCGCGAGCCUGAACCAGCCAAGUCGCGUGAGGGAAGACGGUCCUAUGGAUUGUAAACCUCUUUUGUCGGGGAGCAAAAGACGCCACGCGUGGCGUUCCGAGAGUACCCGAAGAAAAAGCAUCGGCUAACUCCGUGCCAGCAGCCGCGGUAAUACGGAGGAUGCGAGCGUUAUCCGGAUUUAUUGGGUUUAAAGGGUGCGCAGGCGGAAGAUCAAGUCAGCGGUAAAAGUGAGAGGCUCAACCUCUUCGAGCCGUUGAAACUGGUUUUCUUGAGUGAGUGAGAAGUAUGCGGAAGGCGUGGUGUAGCGGUGAAAUGCAUAGAUAUCACGCAGAACUCCGAUUGCGAAGGCAGCAUACCGGCGCUCAACUGACGCUCAUGCACGAAAGUGUGGGUAUCGAACAGGAUUAGAUACCCCUGUAGUC